rnacentral:rRNA from 1 species
CCCGUAGGCGGUUUGUCGCGUCUGCCGUGAAAGUCCGGGGCUCAACUCCGGAUCUGCGGUGGGUACGGGCAGACUAGAGUGAUGUAGGGGAGACUGGAAUUCCUGGUGUAGCGGUGAAAUGCGCAGAUAUCAGGAGGAACACCGAUGGCGAAGGCAGGUCUCUGGGCAUUAACUGACGCUGAGGAGCGAAAGCAUGGGGAGCGAACA